CGCCUCUUGAAUUUAUAUAAGAGGUCCAGCCUGCCCAGUGACCCUGUUCAACGGCCGCGGUAUCCUAACCGUGCGAAGGUAGCGUAAUCACUUGUUCUUUAAAUGAGGACUAGUAUGAACGGCAUCACGAAGGUUAUACUGUCUCCUUUUUCCAAUCAGUGAAUCUAAUCUCCCCGUGAAGAAGCGGGGAUAAAACUAUAAGACGAGAAGACCCUAUGGAGCUUAAGACAAUACAGCACUUGCUAAAAAAUUUAACAAUUCCAGAAUUUUUCAUUUUAUAAGCAACAUGACUGUGAGUUUUUGGUUGGGGUGACCACGGAGUAUAACACAACCUCCACGUUGAAAGAAUUUUAUUCUAAGCCAAAAAUUACAUUUUUAAGCAUCAAUAAAUUGACAUCUAUUGACCCAAUACUAUUGAACAACGAACCAAGUUACCCUAGGGAUAACAGCGCAAUCCACUUCAAGAGCUCCUAUCGACAAGUGGGUUUACGACCUCGAUGUUGGAUCAGGGUUUCCCAGUGGUGCAGCCGCUACUAAAGGUUCGUUUGUUCAACGAUUAAAACCCU
rnacentral:rRNA from 1 species